GGAAUCCGCUACUUGGACACUGAUUCCCAUUUCCCCACGUGCCACCGAGAACUGUGGUGCAGUGAUGGUGUUCACCUCAGUGACAGUGACGGAAUGCCCAUUCUGUCACAGCUGCUCUGGACGGCUGCCUACCUGCAGCUGAAUGAGACAGUGCCAGAGCCAGAGGUCCCAGCAAGGUCGUCACUCCCUGUUCCUCAGCACCUCCCCCAGGUGGUUGAGACACCCUCAGAGUGGACAGUCGUUAGACCACGCAGGAAGACGACGCGACCAGC